rnacentral:lncRNA from 1 species
CCGAGGUACUGUUUCCUUCAAUUUCCAACCUGGCCUUUUUGGCUUUCUUUUUACGUUCGGCCUUCUUCCUUUUACGCUCUCCUUCUCCUAGAACUUUCAGAAUCAUUUUGGGUGUUGUUUCCAGAAUUAAGGUCUCCAGAAGUAUCCGAUUCCCCCUGAGAGGAUUCAACAUCAGGGGGAACAUCUUCCUUGUCGGAACUUUCAUCAUCAGAGGCUCGAGACAUCAAGGCAGAGGAAUCUCAUAAAUCAGCAUUCCUAUCUUGUCCAUAUAAAGGGUGGAAACAUUACUUCCCAUCUGAAGGUAUCAACAACCUUAGAGAAUUGACACAUACAUGUAACAACAACCGAGAAACAAUUAAUCCAUUGUGAAAUUGCAAACAAUCCAAUUGAAAGCAAAUUCAGGAAGCAAGUUUAGAAAUCCCAAGUCAAGUGGAGAAACAAGACAAAGAUUCAACAUUAAAUGUAGAUAAACUUGAUGCUGCCAUUAAAGCAUGUGGAGAUCAAGUGAUUUAUUUGAAAGUAAAGAAAGCUGACAAGGUACGAUACAUGGAAAAAGAGAGAAGAAUUUCUCCUCCUUUUCUCUUUCCCAUAGCCAUUUACUCGUCGUCAUCCUCGUCGAGGCUGCAAUCCGAAAAAGCGCUCGACAGGUCGCUGUCCUCGUCCGAGUUUGCCUCCAAGUUUGCCUCCAAAGCCAACUUGGCCUUUUUGGCUUCCUUGAUUCUCCAGAAACAUCACUGGUGUCGUUUCCAGACUCAACAUCAGGGUCUCCACAAGAAUACAGGAUUCCACAACGGGGG